AAGUCGUAACAAGGUUUCCGUAGGUGAACCUGCGGAAGGAUCAUUAACACGUAUCCAACGUUAAACAACCCUGUGAACCUUCAUUCCUGCUCUCCUUGUCCGUUGAGAAAGCAAUCCCUGGUAAAUCACACGAACAGUUUGAUUCAGGGACCUCUUUUGAUGACGCACUUGGAUUCGAUGCGGCGUCGUAAUUUAGACUUGGUUUCUGGAAGGCUAUCAACGAGUCAAAUCGUUGACUGACGAUAAAGGAUGCUGCCUAACAAGCAGAUCACUGAUCCUUACGGUCAGUGGACAAGUCUCUGGAUGCGGAAACGCUCCUCAUAAAAACGAACAACUGUUAACAAUGGAUAUCUUGGUUCUC
rnacentral:misc_RNA from 1 species